UACGAACCGUGCAAACGUUAUUCGGAAUCACUGGGCUUAAAGGGCGCGUAGGCGGGCCGCCCGGUCCGGGGUGAAAUCCUCCAGCUCAACUGGAGAAGUGCCUUGGAUACCGGCGGCCUCGAGGGAGGCAGGGGCGUGCGGAACUUCGGGUGGAGCGGUGAAAUGCGUAGAUAUCCGAAGGAACACCGGUGGCGAAAGCGGCGCGCUGGACCUCUUCUGACGCUGAGGCGCGAAAGCCAGGGGAGCAAACGGG
rnacentral:rRNA from 1 species